rnacentral:rRNA from 1 species
UACGGAAGGCAGCAGUGGGGAAUAUUGCACAAUGGGCGCAAGCCUGAUGCAGCCAUGCCGCGUGUAUGAAGAAGGCCUUCGGGUUGUAAAGUACUUUCAGUCGUGAGGAAGGUGUUAAGGUUAAUAACCUUAGCAAUUGACGUUAGCGACAGAAGAAGCACCGGCUAACUCCGUGCCAGCAGCCGCGGUAAUACGGAGGGUGCGAGCGUUAAUCGGAAUUACUGGGCGUAAAGGGCACGCAGGCGGUUAAUUAAGUUGGAUGUGAAAUCCCCGGGCUUAACCUGGGAAUGGCAUUCAAGACUGGUUAGCUAGAGUCUUGUAGAGGGGGUAGAAUUCCAUGUGUAGCGGUGAAAUGCGUAGAGAUGUGGAGGAAUACCGGUGGCGAAGGCGGCCCCUGGACAAAGACUGACGCUCAUGUGCGAAAGCGUGGGGAGCAAACGAGGGAUUAGAU